rnacentral:rRNA from 1 species
UGGGGAAUUUUGGACAAUGGGCGAAAGCCUGAUCCAGCAAUGCCGCGUGUGUGAAGAAGGCCUUCGGGUUGUAAAGCACUUUUGUCCGGAAAGAAAUCCUUGGCUCUAAUACAGUCGGGGGAUGACGGUACCGGAAGAAUAAGCACCGGCUAACUACGUGCCAGCAGCCGCGGUAAUACGUAGGGUGCAAGCGUUAAUCGGAAUUACUGGGCGUAAAGCGUGCGCAGGCGGUUUGCUAAGACCGAUGUGAAAUCCCCGGGCUCAACCUGGGAACUGCAUUGGUGACUGGCAGGCUAGAGUAUGGCAGAGGGGGGUAGAAUUCCACGUGUAGCAGUGAAAUGCGUAGAGAUGUGGAGGAAUACCGAUGGCGAAGGCAGCCCCCUGGGCCAAUACUGACGCUCAUGCACGAAAGCGUGGGGAGCAAACAGGAUUAGAUACCCUGGUGGUCCACGCCCUAAACGAUGUCAACUAGUUGUUGGGGAUUCAUUUCCUUAGUAACGUGAGCUAACGCGUGAAGUUGACCGCCUGGGGGAGUACGGUCGCAAGAUUAAAACUCAAAUGAAUUGACGGGGUCAU